ensembl:snRNA U6 U6 spliceosomal RNA
CUGCUCGCUUCGGCAGCACAUAUACAAAGUAGGAACAAUACUGAGAAGAUUAGCAUGGACUCUGUGCAAGGUUGACAUGUAAAUUCCUGAAGCAUUCAUUAUUUAA